GGCGCAGUGCCAGAGUUGGUUAAUGGGUGUGACUCGAAAUCACAUGGCUUCGGCCGCGCAAGUUCGAAUCUUGUCUGCGUCG
rnacentral:tRNA from 1 species